CAAAGAGAAGUUAAACAUACGACAUGAACUGAAUUAACUAGUGCGCACGACUAGUUAAAAAACAAACUUCCUUUGACAAUAAAUUUCUAAUUAAAUCAUGGCUGCACCUCGGCAGCGCUAUUGUGAGAGUGAAAGUGGACGUGCUGCUACUCCCCUCAUUCCCAACAUGUAUCAAGUACCUGCAUUGAGUAAUGCAAGAGUGAGAUGACACAUCUCAGCAAGUAAAAUAAUAUCAAACUGUUUAACCACAUAAGAACAUUGUUUUACCACCACUUGAUUCCACAACCUUCUUAUUACGAAGGUGCAGCACGUAUACAACGUACAACACACCUAGUCACCACACCUCGCAGGUAGAAACCACAAUAGUAACAUAGUAAUGUCACACUUCAUAUAUAUAUACCUCAUGAGUGCAAAUGUCUGCAAAUGCAAGGAUGACUUCUGCCUUCAUACCUCUAAGGAUAUGAAGCCGCAUCGUACCCCUCCUCGGGCAACGUACUAUGCUAAAAAUGUACCGGUACGGUCGGACCAUAAGAUCACGACAUAACUUCAAAAUGCAAGAUGGAUGAUGCGAUGUGCAUGUCAUGCCUACAACACUUCAUAUAACGUGAUUCAAAAAGAUACUUCAACUUCAUCCAAGAUGGGAAUCAACCACAUAUAUCAUUAACAAAUUAUGAUCAUCCACAAUAUUAGACAAUGGAGAAUUAAUAAUUCCAAACAAAUAAACUUCAUCAUAGAAUUCAAUGAUUAACAUAAUUAAAACUUAUGCAUACUCAAUGAUAGGGAAUUGGAUGCAAACCAAACGGUAGCAACCACCACUGUAUUUACUUGCCUUUACCGGAAGUUCGGGCAAAUCCCUAAGUACGAUCCGGAAGUUCACCACCUGUUUUUGACACACAACUUAGUGCACCAAUUUCACAUAAUCAGGCUCAUAAGCGACGCCGCACCUACGCACAAACUCAAACCCCGCCGCGGGUUACAUCUCUCCCCACACCCACCAAACUGCAGCGGGGCUGCUUAAUAAUUUCAUAACUUUAAAAUUAUGACAACAGUGGUAACAAACAAAAACUCCAGAGGCAUCUACAUAAAUUUCCCCACAAGUUUUGUACACAAUUUAUAAUUAAAUUCCAACAUCUAAUUAGCCCAAAACAGUCCACAAGAUGAACCCUGUAAUCUGUUUUUUUGUCUUUUGGACAGCGACAUACCCGGAUUCAAACAGCGAUAUCUUUUAAAAUAUAAUUCCAAAUCAAGCGCAUAAGUACUCAUUGGAAAGAUAAGACAAAGCCCUACAUUAUUAUCAUACUGGUUAAGACUAAUUACCCACGAAAAAUGCCUAGAAACUGCUAAUACUACUGCUGUUCACCCACCUGAAAAUCUGUUUUUUUGGACAGCAACAUAACCGGAUUCAAACAACGAUAUCUCCUAAAUUAUAACUCCGAAUCGAGCGCAUAAGUACCCGUUGGAAAGGUAUGACAAAGCUCUACAUGAUUCACCCACUGAUCCCCACUAAUUACCCACGAAAAAAUCCCAGAAAUCCCUAGAACUACUGCUGUUCGCCCACCCACAAAAUUUUCAGGACAGCACCUCUACCGAUUCGGAUAGGUAAACAUAUAAUCAAUUGGAUUACAACACAAUUAAACAAGAUACAAUCUCAAAAUCACCUUGAAUCCUCCCCCUUUCCUCCCUUCUUCUUCCCACCACCAAAAUCCAAUUGGAGACAUGCACCAACGCGAUGUAGAUCCGAGCGGGAAAGGAAUGGCACCUUGGAGAGAAGGGCUUGAGGAGGGGGCGGCUAGGGUUUGAUGGGGGAGGUGGGGUGGCAGCUGCAAAUGGGUGGAGGAGUGAGAGGGGCG
rnacentral:lncRNA from 1 species